rnacentral:tRNA from 1 species
GGCCUUAUGGUCAAGCGGUUAUGACGACGCCCUCUCACGGCGUAAACUCGGGUUCGAUUCCCGAUAAGGUCACCA